CAGUAGCCACGGGAAUACGGAGGGUGCAAGCGUUAAUCGGAAUUACUGGGCGUAAAGCGCACGCAGGCGGUCUGACAAGUCAGAUGUGAAAUCCCCGGGCUUAACCUGGGAACUGCAUUUGAAACUGUCAGGCUGGAGUCUUGUAGAGGGGGGUGGAAUUCCAGGUGUAGCGGUGAAAUGCGUAGAGAUCUGGAGGAAUACCGGUGGCGAAGGCGGCCCCCUGGACAAAGACUGACGCUUAGGUGCGAAAGCGUGGGGAGCAAACAGGAUUAGAUACCCGCGUAGUCCCUGUCUCUUAUAC
rnacentral:rRNA from 1 species